AGCAUUAAGAAAACCAGUGAGCCCUUGCCAAAAGCUUGUUCUUUGCUAGGGAGGAGGGAGAAAAAUAUUGUUUGCAGUAGAUAAAGUAACUCUGCUUCCCCAGGAAGAGGAAAAGAGACAAUUAAAGAUUGCCUUCCUUGAUGCUGCCUGUGCACUUGGGUACUUUCAGGGAAUAAAGUCUCGGUGCAGAGAUCACAGUUGUGAAAUGAUGGCUCUUUUGGAGAGGACAAGAAUGCUGUCAUCAGUCUUUUCAAGGGAGUCAAGAGUAAGAGAAUAUGUGCAACCUGCCUGUCUUUGAC
rnacentral:lncRNA from 1 species